ensembl:lncRNA
CUGGGGCUUGGCUUGGAGCCCUGUUCCCUGAAAUACCACAGAACUGGCUUCUGAGGAGAGGCGACGUGAGCUGCUGAGCUCCAGGUUGCUGCUGUUUCCCUCCCUCAGGAUGACGUGUUCCUGCAUGUGUUGGAUGGCACCUGGCUCACAUCGUGCCGUGGUGUGGCACUCUGGGACACCUAGGAAGGUUUGCUGCGUGAUGGAGUCCAUGCUGUCUCCAUCCUCCCUUCAGUCUCCAAAUGCCUGGCUUACCAAGGAGGCCUCUUGUCUCAUGUUCAUGGAAGAGAACAGGAAGGUGACUGUGGCUGUGCUGCAUGUUGGAAACACAGGCAGCGUACUUACAGAUGAGCUUAUUAUGAGAAGAAGCCGCAUACAGACAGGAUUCUGCUACCUGUGGCAGAAAAAAGGUUUGAUCUGCGCAGGACCUCUCCAGACCCCUUCACCCUCACUUGGGAGGAAAAAUCGAACAGCAAGAAGGACAUGCUCAGAGGAGUUGGAUUACAGCUUACACGUGUAUUCGAACCCAGAGUUACACAACUGCAUGAAGAGCUGUGUGCAGAAAUGCUUUCUGAUUUCUGCUUACAACAGCCUAGAGUUUGUAAGAGAUUUGGAGGGACAUAACAUUUAUUUCCUACUUCCCUGAGCUUCAGUCCAGGCCUUGGAAAAACCCAUCUGACAGAAUUACUGCAUGGCAGCGUGUCAGCCUCCAAAAUCCUCAAAAAGCCCAUGAAAAGAACUGCUGUAUUUCCUUUGGAAAAACAGGAUGGCAGCAUUGCAGAGAUUCCCUGGAAGGACUGCUGGCUCUGUGCCUCAGUGGAGGAAAAAGAGGUGACUGAUGCCCAUUGGCAACCCCUGGCCAGGUGAAGCACAAAAGAAGUGCACAGAAAAUGACCACUGCUGCUCUGCUUAGAGAGGGGAAAACACCUUCUUCAGGAAGGUUUGGAGCAGACAGGGACAAAGUGAUGGUAAACCUCCUGGGAAAGCAGCUUGCACUGACUGCAUAAUUUGAUAACUGCAGUUACAAGAGGAUGACUCCUCACAUCAGCACGGCUCCUGGCCUCUCUGGACUUGAUGUGGGUACAACAGUGGUCAGCCAUGGUCUGUGUGCAUCCUUCAGGCUGAGCCCAGGAUACAGCUCUACACCCCUCUCUGCUCCCCAGCCACAGUCUCCCCUCACCAGGGGGUUCCAGCCUUCCUCUGGCCUCAUGCAUGUGCACCAUCACUUGGUAAUGCUGAAGAUGCCCCAUCUCUGGAUGCAUUCAAGGCUGGAUGUGGCUCUAGGCAGCCUGGUCGGGUGGUUGGCGACCCUGCACAUAGCAGGAGGGUUGAAACUGGAUGAUCACUGUAGUCCUUUUCAACUCAGGCCAUCCUAUGAUUCUAUGAUUUUGGCUGGAGAAAGUGUGCUGGUUCCAGAGCAAUUACACUGAAGUUUGUAUAGAAAUGUGGGAAAGUUCUCUCUUUGUCAGAGUUUUUGACAAAUAAACUUACUUCAAUGCCCACUUUUAGUUUUUUGGGUUUUGAUUCCAUUUGUUUCAGGCAGCAAUUAAGAAAGUAAGAUUUGAUUCUUUAUUCAAGCGUGUAACCUACCCCUGCAGUGAGAGCUCUGCGCUGGGCUAGGAAGAGAGCAGAGAUUUCUACUGGUAGGUGAAGUUCUCACUCAUCCCCAGGAAUGCAGAAAUGAUCCUGAGAAGGAAGGACCAAAUCCUUAGUUCCCUGGGGAAUGCUGCAGCUCCCUGCUCUUAGGGUUUUGCUCCUGCAUUUGAGUUCUUUUUUCCUACCCAGCGGCAUUGCUCCAGCUCCUUGAUUGGUGUGAAAGAUGGCAAGAAGGAUAAAUGCUGGUUGCAAGAUCUCUGAUGUGUUCCACAGAUCCAUAUGGCUGUCCAUACCUCGAGCUGUGGUGAAAAGGGUUGUCGGUACUGUUCUGUGAGGAGCUCAGGUUGGUUUGUGCCUGUUCAUUUGGAAAUAAAUAUGCAGUGGGCUGAGUUCAGAUGGGCAGAAAAAGGACUGUGGGUCAAAGGGGACCAGAGGGUGUGAAAUGUCAGCAUAUGGGAUGCAAGGUGUGCCAAAGGCUAGGGUGUGAAUCACUUUGGAUUUUCAGAUUUGUAUCAGCAUUGUGCCAGACUUCCAGCAUUUAUAUUAGUCACCUACAAUCUGCUGAAAUCCCGUAUUUGGUGUCUUUAAAAAGAUGUAUGUCUUUAUUUGCUCUGUAUUUGGCUUGUGAUCUUUAAGAGCUGCAGUUACUGGAUGCUAAGAGGUGGCCCUGUUCACAGCCUCAUGCUGCCUUGAUUGAAACGCUGAGGUCAAAGGCCAGCAGGAGCCAAAGGUCUCUGCAAGCUAACCAUAUGCACAGGCUCGCCAAGCUCUUCUCCCUCUGUGUCAUGAAGACAAAUGGCAUUUUUAAGAAUUCUCCCAAUGAACUAGCAUUCAUUUUCUGGUGUCUCUUCCUUCUUUAUUGCUUCCUAAUGAGCUUCAUUCCCAUCACCUCUAGCCUCCUGCUCUUGAGUCUGCAUUUACACUGAUGCACAGAAGAGCAGCAAAUUGAACAAAUUAAUUAAUUAAGCUGGCCCGUCUAAUGAAAGGCACCCUGAUGACUCCUGGGUUUUCCCCUCUUGCUUUUUAAAGAAAUCUACUCUAUAUCUUUAAUGGCCACAGUUGCUGGGCUUUUUCUGUCCAUAGGCUCUGCAAGAACACCAAAUUCUUUUUCUGUGGUGUUUGGGGUUUAACUGAGAACAUUUCUCUCUCUGUGUACAUCUUUACACAUACACACAUGUAUAAAUGUGCACACAGGUAUAUUUUUAUUCUUUAUUUCUGUAUUUAUGGCCCCUACUUUACUUGCUUGUUUAUUAUUUUAGCAGUGGAAUUUUCAUGAAAGUACUAUUCAGGAGCUAUUUGGAGUGACAGCUAUAACUAAAGAGGGAAUCCGUGCUGUUACAGCCCACAGAGCUUCCUCUCUGCCUGGUCUGGCUGGGCUCUAUUUGUGCUCCCGUUCGACCCAUACUGCUUUGUUUGCAGUCUGCACUCCCUGGGCCAGACCAGCUGAUUCAAAACCAAGCGUUACCUACACAUCCCCUUAUUUCCACUUAUUUCAAUGCAGUGUUGCUAAGCAGAAGAUCUGGCCCCAUGCAUUUGUGCUCCUCAUUACCAGAGCUUUAUGCUUUACCUCAGGUGAGGAUGUUGACUUUGGUGCUGCAAGUUGCCUAUGUGUAAAAUGCAUCCAGCACCUUCGUGUGUAAAUUACUGUCUUUACGUUGCUUUAAGAGACUCUCAGUGUGUGAAAGUACAUGAUGAAAACAGUGAAUAGGCACUGGAAUGGGCUGCCUGGAGAGGUGGUGGAGUCAGCAACCCUGUUUGGACUGUUGUGCUGAGGGAUGUGGUUUAAUGAGAACUACUGCUGAUGGGUGAAUGGUUGGACUGGGUGAUCCUGUGGAUCUUCUCCAACCUUGGUGAUCCUAUGACUCAAUGAUUCUAUGAACUUGCAAAGGUUAAGUGUUAAUCUAUGAAAGGGCCGUUCCAGUUCUGACCAUUCCUUUGUAUUACCACUGUCUGUAAGCAUGCACUGCGUGGCGGUGGAGCCAUUGGUGAGAUGGAGCUGUUAACCAGGUAUUACCAUCAGGCCAACCAAGUUUACCCUUGAAGAAGAAAAAUCACAACAGCAACGCUUUUGUUUUGUAUCACUAGUGCUUUUCCUUCCUCCUAACACGUGCCCUUUGCUGCAUCUCUCUGCUUUCUUAGGAGGGUUUUAAGGCUGGUUACAGAUGAAUGGGACUAAUGGCCUCCACCUGAUUUUUACAAGAUAGCUGUUUAAUCCAACAUUUCUAAGUGCUGUUUCCGAACACAGUACUACUGUUACCAGAUGAAAGAGCUAUGGAUUCUUUCCAAGGAAUAUGUGAAUAAUUUUAAAUUGCUCUGCUGAAAGUACUUUUACUGAGUGCCUUUUCCCCUUCCUGUCUGCGAUGCAUUUUCACUUUGAAGUAAUAAAUACAUAUAGUCUCUUGGUGUCUACGUACUUACCCUGCCCAUUCUCUUCCUUUUUAUUCCUCAGCUCAUCACCUCAUUAUACCUGAAAAACAGUGAAGUGAAGGCUAUAUG